rnacentral:pre_miRNA from 1 species
CUAGUACUCCCUCCGUCCGGAAUUACUUGUCAUGGAAAUGGAUGUAUCUAGAUGUAUUUUAGUUCUAGAGACAUCAUUUUUUGUGAGAAGUAAUUCAGGAUGGAGGGAGUACUCA